rnacentral:rRNA from 1 species
UACCAGCACCCCGAGUGGUCGGGACGAUUAUUGGGCCUAAGGCAUCCGUAGCCGGUCAUGCAAGUCUUCCGUUAAAUCCAGCCGCUCAACGGUUGGGCUGCGGAGGAUACUACGUGGCUAGGAGGCGGGAGAGGCAAGCGGUACUCAGUGGGUAGGGGUAAAAUCCUUUGAUCCAUUGAAGACCACCAGUGGCGAAGGCGGCUUGCCAGAACGCGCUCGACGGUGAGGGAUGAAAGCUGGGGGAGCAAACCGG